AUGGAGCUUCAAAUGCUCAACUUCUGUGCAUUUUGCUCUACCUAUCUUCAUGUCAUAACCACACUUUUCCUAUUCAGCAACCUUUUCCAACCUACCGUCGUUGCAAAUGCAUUGAGCAAUGAAACUGAUCGAUUCACUUUGCUCAAGUUCAAAGAUUCCAUAGCCACUGAUCCACAUGGAUUCUUAAACUCAUGGAACGGCUCUCUUCACUUCUGCAACUGGCAUGGAAUUACUUGCGGUGCAAGACAUCAAAGAGUUACAGGCUUGAACCUUUCAGACAAUGGUUUGAAAGGAAUCAUAUCACCGUUCAUCGGAAACAUGUCUUUUCUAAGGUCCAUCAACCUUGGAAAUAACAGCUUCUCUGGAAAAAUCCCACAAGUUGAUCAUUUGUCCCGACUGCGGCAUCUCAAUCUGAGUUACAACAUGUUGGAGGGGGAAAUACCAGUAAACCUGACCUUCUGCUUCCAACUCAACAUCAUAGAUUUUGGAACAAACCACCUUGACCAAAAAAUUCCUUCAGAGCUUGGUUCCUUGAUGAAGCUUGUGUUUCUCAAUCUUGAGAAAAACAAUCUGACUGGAAGCAUCCCACCUUCCUUGGGAAAUCUUUCAUCAAUCACUCUACUUUCCUUGGGACAGAACAAUUUGGUGGGCAACGUACCGGAGGAAAUAGGCCGAUUGAGAAGCUUAUCUAGCUUUGUUAUUGGUAUCAAUAAUCUCUCGGGUACGAUACCUCUCUCCCUUUUUAACAUAUCAUCUAUGAAACGCAUCUCAAUUGUAUGUAAUAAGUUUAAGGGAAGUUUUUCACCUAGCAUAGGCCUAGACAUGCCUAAUCUCCAAAUAAUGGCCCUCGGCGGAAAUGAAUAUUCUGGACAAAUCCCAGCCUCAUUUUCCAAUGCUUCUCAGCUUCAAAUACUUGAUAUUGCUGACAAUAAUUUUGUGGGGCAAGUUCCUACAAGUCUCGGAAAUCUUCCAAAUCUCAGGUGGCUCAAUGUAGGUCGAAAUAAUAUGGGAAGUAAUUCCACUAGUGACUUCGUUUUUAUAACAUCUUGACAAAUUGCAGCAAACUGAAGUUUCUGGAUUUCAACUCCAACAAUUUUGGAGGAGUUUUACCCAACUCUGUAGCCAAUUUAUCAAUCCAGCUCGAUACAUUCUACCUGGGAAGAAAUCAAAUAUCAGGAAUGAUUCCUUCAACAUUAGCAAAUUUAAACAAUUUAAUAGUGUUGGGCCUGAACGAGAACCUGUUCACAGGAGUCAUUCCUAGAUCUCUUGGGAAGUUACAAGAGCUGCAACGAUUGGGUUUACAUGAAAACAGAUUAUCAGGAGAACUCCCAUUUUUCAUGGGAAACCUCACUAAUUUAUUUGAACUAGAUUUAUCAGGAAAUAACUUAGAGGGAAGCAUUUCUCCAAGUAUCACUAGGUCAUGCCCAAAUUUGCAGUACUUGAGCCUUUCGCAUAAUAAGCUUAGCGGAGAUAUUCCACCAGAUGUUAUUGGUCUUUCCUCAUUUCUCUAUCUGAACUUGUCACAAAACUCAUUAACUGGUAGUCUGCCUGUAGAAGUGGGUAAGCUGAAGAAUAUCAAUACACUGGACCUCUCUAGUAAUAAUUUGACUGGAGGAAUUCCAGAAAAUAUUGCAGGCUGUCAGAGACUUGAAUUUCUUUCGUUACGAGGGAAUCUCUUUCAAGGAAUCAUACCUUCUUCUUUGGCUUCUUUGAGAGGUAUUCUGUAUCUAGAUCUUUCACAGAACAACUUGUCAGGACUUAUACCGGAAGACCUGCAAACACUUCCAUUCUUGACCUAUUUGAAUCUUUCGUCCAAUAACUUAGAGGGUGAAGUACCGAAAGAAGGAGUUUUUGGAAACACAAGUGCAAUAUCAUGGGAUGGAAAUACCAAACUUUGUGGUGGUGUUUCGGAAUUGCAGCUACCGCCAUGCCUCAUCAAAGUACCAGAGAAGAGAAAGUUGCAUGGUUUCAAACUGAAGUUGACAAUUUCUUUAGUUGUGGUAUGUUGCUUUCUAUUUGCAGUCAUCAUCUUAGCUAUUUAUUGGAGGAGAAAAACUCAAAAGAUCAAGAAACCAAUAUCUGCAGCAUCAUCAAUCACCUUCCUUUCAAAGGUUACAUACCAGACACUUCAUCAAGCUACUGGAGGAUUCUCUAUGAGCAAUCAAAUCGGAUCAGGCGGUUUCGGCUCUGUAUACAAAGGGAUUCUUGAUCAAGAAGAAAACAAAGUUGUUGCGAUAAAGGUCUUCAACCUUCAACAAAAAGGAGCUUCUAAAAGUUUCAUAGCUGAAUGCAAUGCACUAAAAAAUAUUCGGCAUAGGAAUCUUGUUAAGAUCUUAACAUGUUGCUCUAGCACAGAUUACAACGGUAAAGAAUUCAAAGCUUUAGUUUUUGAGUACAUGUCAAAUGGAAGUUUAGAGGAGUGGCUGCACAGAGAAAACCAAUUAGGGAGUUUGGACCUUCUUCAAAGACUGAAUAUUGCUGUUGAUGUGGCGUCUGCAUUGUGUUAUCUUCAUGACCAUUGUGAUCCACAAAUCAUUCACUGUGACAUGAAGCCAAGCAAUGUUCUUCUUGAUGACGACAUGGUUGCUCGUGUCGGUGAUUUUGGUUAGCAAGACUCAUCCCACUGACCACGGAGUCCUUCGAAAAUCAAAGUAGAACAGCUGGGAUAAAGGGAACCAUUGGCUAUGCUGCUCCAGAGUAUGCAGUUGGUGUUGAGCCAUCAAAACAAGGGGAUGUAUAUAGUUAUGGGAUCCUUCUAUUGCAAUUGUUCACAGGAAAAAGACCUACUGAUGAAAUGUUUGUAGACGGUUGCAAUAUACAUACUUAAGUUAAGACGGCGAUACAUGGAAGAAUUAUGGAAAUUGUUGAUCCUGCUCUUAUUGCCACUCUGGAUCAAGAGACUGCAACUUCAAGAACAGACAAUGAAGUGACUGACGUCCGUGGUUACAACAAAGAAAUCCAAGCUGAUGAAGAUAACGUUGACACUGAGAAUCUAAGCACAAUGAAAUAUAACGUGUGGAACUGCAUACUUCCAACCCUUAAGAUUGGGCUUGCAUGCUCAGAAGAAUCACCAAGGAAGAGGAUGUCUAUGGAGGAGGUUCACAGGGAGCUAAACCAUAUAAAAAGUGCUUAUAGUACUAGUGUUGAGUGUUGA